rnacentral:piRNA from 1 species
UGCCAAAGAUCUUUGGAAAGUCCAAGUGG